UUCGGGGUUAGUGGCGCACGGGUGCGUAACGCGUGGGAACCUGCCCUUAGGUUCGGAAUAACUCAGAGAAAUUUGAGCUAAUACCGGAUAAUGUCUUCGGACCAAAGAUUUAUCGCCUUUGGAUGGGCCCGCGUAGGAUUAGGUAGUUGGUGGGGUAAAGGCCUACCAAGCCGACGAUCCUUAGCUGGUCUGAGAGGAUGAUCAGCCACACUGGGACUGAGACACGGCCCAGACUCCUACGGGAGGCAGCAGUGGGGAAUAUUGGACAAUGGGCGAAAGCCUGAUCCAGCAAUGCCGCGUGAGUGAUGAAGGCCUUAGGGUUGUAAAGCUCUUUUACCAGGGAUGAUAAUGACAGUACCUGGAGAAUAAGCUCCGGCUAACUCCGUGCCAGCAGCCGCGGUAAUACGGAGGGAGCUAGCGUUGUUCGGAAUUACUGGGCGUAAAGCGCGCGUAGGCGGCUCAUCAAGUCAGGGGUGAAAUCCCGGGGCUCAACCCCGGAACUGCCCUUGAAACUGGUAGGCUAGAAUCCUGGAGAGGCGAGUGGAAUUCCGAGUGUAGAGGUGAAAUUCGUAGAUAUUCGGAAGAACACCAGUGGCGAAGGCGACUCGCUGGACAGGUAUUGACGCUGAG
rnacentral:rRNA from 1 species